UACGUAGGGUGCAAGCGUUGUCCGGAAUUAUUGGGCGUAAAGAGCUCGUAGGCGGUCUGUCACGUCGGCUGUGAAAUCCCGAGGCUCAACCUCGGGUCUGCAGUCGAUACGGGCAAACUAGAGUAUUGCAGGGGAGACGUGGAAAUUCCUGGUGUAGCGGUGAAAUGCGCAGAUAUCAGGAGGAACACCGGUGGCGAAGGCGGGUCUCUGGGCAAUAACUGACGCUGAGGAGCGAAAGCGUGGGG
rnacentral:rRNA from 1 species